CAGGCUAUCGAUCUUCACACUCGCGCGCAGGGCGCACGACGCAGCCCAGCUCGCCCCCGACGCGCAGACGUCACGCCCCGACUCCCCGUCACCUGCUCGCCUGCGCCCUCCGCCGCUCGUGACGGCCGCCGAUGAAUCCGCCGCUCGCCCGUGCCCUCCGGCCUACGCUGCUCGUGACGACCGCUGGUGACUCCGCCGCUCAUCCGCCUGGCCUGCUCCGCUGCUCGCGCCGUCGCCCGUCUCGCCGUCCGGCCGUCCCCUGCUCGCCUGCUGCCCUACUCCGCCGCUCGCGCAGCCCAGCUCGCCGUCUCGCCCGAUCUGCUGGCUCCUGCUCUCCGCCACGCGCAGGACUGCUCUCUGCUGCCGGAUGUAAAUAAAAGAUGACGAGAUAUUUUUCAUUGUGGCCGCAACAGAAGUGCUACACCCGGAGUUUUAGCAGGGAUUCAAGGGGCCAAGAGGACUGAAGCAACUCCAGAAAAUGAAACAACUGCAGAAAUGGGACCACCGCCUUCAAUCUCAACUCGAGAAAGCAACUGAUGAAGCAAGCCAUUGAUUUGGUACUCUUUUUACUUCACAUACUGUUUGUAGUUUUUGUUAUCUUUUUUGUUGUAUUUUUAAGCAUUGAGUUUAUAAAUUCUAAAUUUGUGGUGUAAUUGAGCCAUAUUUGAGGUAGCUAUAGUCUGAUGGACGUUAAGUUU